rnacentral:tRNA from 1 species
GUCGACGUGCCAGAGUGGUUAAUGGGCUGCCCUGCUACGGUGUCUUCCGGUGUGACCGGAUGCCCAGCAGUUGAGGCAGUGGCUUCGGUCGCGCAAGUUCGAAUCUUGUCGUCGACG